rnacentral:rRNA from 1 species
UACGUAGGGGGCAAGCGUUGUCCGGAUUUAUUGGGCGUAAAGCGCGUGUAGGCGGCCAGGUAGGUCCGCUGUGAAAACCCGAGGCUCAACCUCGGGACGUCGGCGGAAACCAUCUGGCUAGAGUCCGGAAGAGGAGAGUGGAAUUCCCGGUGUAGCGGUGAAAUGCGCAGAUAUCGGGAAGAACACCCGUGGCGAAGGCGCCUCUCUGGGACGGUACUGACGCUGAGACGCGAAAGCGUGGGGAGCGAACAGG